rnacentral:rRNA from 1 species
GACAGGGGAUGCAAGUGUUAUCCGGAAUUAUUGGGCGUAAAGCGUCUGCAGGUUGAUAAUUAAGUCUUUUGUUAAAUCUCUGGGCUUAACCCAGAAUCUGCAAAAGAAACUAUUUAUCUAGAGUAUAGUAGAGGUAAAGAGAAUUUCCAGUGGAGCGGUGAAAUGCGUAGAUAUUGGAAAGAAUACCAAGAGCGAAGGCACUUUACUAGGCUAGUACUGACACUCAGAGACGAAAGCUAGGGGAG